rnacentral:rRNA from 1 species
GACGAACGCUGGCGGCGUGCUUAACACAUGCAAGUCGAACGGAAAGGCCCUGCUUUUGUGGUGUUCUCGAGUGGCGAACGGGUAAGUAACACGUGAGUAACCUGCCCUUCACUUUGGGGGAACUUCAGGAAACUGGGGCUAAUACCGGACAGGAUCUCCCGCUGCAUGGUGGGGAUUGGAAAGUUUCGGCUGGUGGGGAUGGACUCGCGGCUUAUCGGCUUGCUGGUUGGGGAGUGGUUUACCAAGGAUUUGACCGGUAGGCGGCCUGAGAGGGUGACCAGCCCCAUUGGGACUGAGAUACGGACCAGACUGCUACAGGAGGCAGCAGUGGGGAAUAUUGCACAAUGGGCGCAAGCCUGAUGCAACAACGCCGCGUGCGGGAUGACGGCCUUCGGGUUGUAAACCGCUUUCGCCUGUGACGAAGCGUGAGUGACGGUAAUGAGUGAAGAAGCACCGGCUAACUACGUG